AUAUUGCGCAAUGGGCGAAAGCCUGACGCAGCCACGCCGCGUGAGCGAUGAAGGUCUUCGGAUCGUAAAGCUCUGUGGGGAGAGACGAAGAAAGCCUGUGAAGAGCAGGCCUUGACGGUAUCUCCUUAGCAAGCACCGGCUAACUCCGUGCCAGCAGCCGCGGUAAUACGGAGGGUGCAAACGUUGCUCGGAAUCAUUGGGCGUAAAGCGCACGUGGGCGGCGGCGUAAGCGGAAUGUGAAAGCCCAGAGCUCAACUCUGGAAGUGCAUCCCGAACUGUGUCGCUUGAAUCUCGGAGGGGGACAGAGAAUUCCCGGUGUAGAGGUGAAAUUCGUAGAUAUCGGGAGGAAUACCAGUGGCGAAGGCGCUGUCCUGGACGAAGAUUGACGCUGAGGUGCGAAAGCGUGGGGAGCAAACAGG
rnacentral:rRNA from 1 species